rnacentral:lncRNA from 1 species
GGUUUUUUGCAUGGAUACCCUUCUAAAUAUCGGAUUUUGCGUGAAUACCCUUCCAAAAUUGAUAUUUGCAUGUAUACCCUCGUAAAAUACUUGUUUUGCUAUUCUAUCCGCUUUUAUUCUUAUUUUUGCAUAUAUACCCAUGCCAUCUAACGCCGUUAAAAAAUUAACGGUUUCAAAUUAAAAUGACUAAAAUACCCUUAAUGGGUAAGCGUGCAAAUAGAAAUUUUUAUAAGGGUAUGCAAGCAAAUAGUAACUUUACAAG